GAAACCCGGUGAUCUAGCCAUGGGCAGGUUGAAGGUUGGGUAACACUAACUGGAGGACCGAACCGACUAAUGUUGAAAAAUUAGCGGAUGACCUGUGGCUGGGGGUGAAAGGCCAAUCAAACCGGGAGAUAGCUGGUUCUCCCCGAAAGCUAUUUAGGUAGCGCCUCGUGAAUUCAUCUCCGGGGGUAGAGCACUGUUUCGGCUAGGGGGCCAUCCCGGCUUACCAACCCGAUGCAAACUGCGAAUACCGGAGAAUGUUAUCACGGGAGACACACGGCGGGUGCUAACGUCCGUCGUGAAGAGGGAAACAACCCAGACCGCCAGCUAAGGUCCCAAAGUCAUGGUUAAGUGGGAAACGAUGUGGGAAGGCCCAGACAGCCAGGAUGUUGGCUUAGAAGCAGCCAUCAUUUAAAGAAAGCGUAAUAGCUCACUGGUCGAGUCGGCCUGCGCGGAAGAUGUAACGGGGCUAAACCAUGCACCGAAGCUGCGGCAGCGACACUGUGUGUUGUUGGGUAGGGGAGCGUUCUGUAAGCCUGUGAAGGUGUGUCGUGAGGCAUGCUGGAGGUAUCAGAAGUGCGAAUGCUGACAUAAGUAACGAUAAAGCGGGUGAAAAGCCCGCUCGCCGGAAGACCAAGGGUUCCUGUCCAACGUUAAUCGGGGCAGGGUGAGUCGACCCCUAAGGCGAGGCCGAAAGGCGUAGUCGAUGGGAAACGGGUUAAUAUUCCCGUACUUGGUGUUACUGCGAAGGGGGGACGGAGAAGGCUAUGUUGGCCGGGCGACGGUUGUCCCGGUUUAAGCGUGUAGGUGUGUGUUCCAGGUAAAUCCGGUUCACUUUAACACUGAGGCGUGACGACGAGGCACUACGGUGCUGAAGCAACAAAUGCCCUGCUUCCAGGAAAAGCCUCUAAGCAUCAGGUAACAUCAAAUCGUACCCCAAACCGACACAGGUGGUCAGGUAGAGAAUACCAAGGCGCUUGAGAGAACUCGGGUGAAGGAACUAGGCAAAAUGGUGCCGUAACUUCGGGAGAAGGCACGCUGACACGUAGGUGAAGUGAUUUACUCAUGGAGCUGAAGUCAGUCGAAGAUACCAGCUGGCUGCAACUGUUUAUUAAAAACACAGCACUGUGCAAACACGAAAGUGGACGUAUACGGUGUGACGCCUGCCCGGUGCCGGAAGGUUAAUUGAUGGGGUCAGCGCAAGCGAAGCUCCUGAUCGAAGCCCCGGUAAACGGCGGCCGUAACUAUAACGGUCCUAAGGUAGCGAAAUUCCUUGUCGGGUAAGUUCCGACCUGCACGAAUGGCGUAAUGAUGGCCAGGCUGUCUCCACCCGAGACUCAGUGAAAUUGAACUCGCUGUGAAGAUGCAGUGUACCCGCGGCAAGACGGAAAGACCCCGUGAACCUUUACUAUAGCUUGACACUGAACAUUGAGCCUUGAUGUGUAGGAUAGGUGGGAGGCUUUGAAGUGUGGACGCCAGUCUGCAUGGAGCCGACCUUGAAAUACCACCCUUUAAUGUUUGAUGUUCUAACGUGGACCCGUUACCCGGGUUGCGGACAGUGUCUGGUGGGUAGUUUGACUGGGGCGGUCUCCUCCUAAAGAGUAACGGAGGAGCACGAAGGUUGGCUAAUCCUGGUCGGACAUCAGGAGGUUAGUGCAAUGGCAUAAGCCAGCUUGACUGCGAGCGUGACGGCGCGAGCAGGUGCGAAAGCAGGUCAUAGUGAUCCGGUGGUUCUGAAUGGAAGGGCCAUCGCUCAACGGAUAAAAGGUACUCCGGGGAUAACAGGCUGAUACCGCCCAAGAGUUCAUAUCGACGGCGGUGUUUGGCACCUCGAUGUCGGCUCAUCACAUCCUGGGGCUGAAGUAGGUCCCAAGGGUAUGGCUGUUCGCCAUUUAAAGUGGUACGCGAGCUGGGUUUAGAACGUCGUGAGACAGUUCGGUCCCUAUCUGCCGUGGGCGCUGGAGAACUGAGGGGGGCUGCUCCUAGUACGAGAGGACCGGAGUGGACGCAUCACUGGUGUUCGGGUUGUCAUGCCAAUGGCACUGCCCGGUAGCUAAAUGCGGAAGAGAUAAGUGCUGAAAGCAUCUAAGCACGAAACUUGCCCCGA
rnacentral:rRNA from 3 species